UGGCUGUCAUGGUCAAAAAGCUAGGAGGUUGCCUUUGAGCCUUGGGCGUCGCUUCACACUCCCACUUGUUCAUGUGUGCCUUGCUCGGAAUUUCGGGUCGUUCUUCGUACUCGUGCGUGUAAACUACGACUGCUACGGAAUGUUAAGCAAUGGAGAAGACACUUGAGGGAAGCAAUUCUGCAGAGACUUCUCCACCCGGAGUUGGCGGCGUGAGAUUACACCGUGGCAAGAUAUGCGAAGUUUCGGGCUUGUCUGGUAACCAACUUUUUUGCUU
rnacentral:SRP_RNA from 1 species